ACGAAUAAGAUUCGAUAACUUCCA
rnacentral:miRNA from 1 species